UACGUAGGGUGCAAGCGUUAAUCGGAAUUACUGGGCGUAAAGCGUGCGCAGGCGGUUUUGUAAGUCUGUCGUGAAAUCCCCGGGCUUAACCUGGGAACUGCGUUUGAAACUACAAGGCUAGAGUGUGGCAGAGGGGGGUGGAAUUCCACGUGUAGCAGUGAAAUGCGUAGAGAUGUGGAGGAACACCGAUGGCGAAGGCAGCCCCCUGGGUUAACACUGACGCUCAUGCACGAAAGCGUGGGGAGCAAACAGG
rnacentral:rRNA from 1 species